GCCCCUAUGGUUUUCAGUUCACCGUCUUCGAUUUCUACAACGCCGUUCUUCGUAGGAUUGCGACAGGAAGAAGUCUUAAC
rnacentral:sRNA from 1 species